GAUGAACGCACAAGACGUGCCUAACACAUGCAAAUCGAAUGAAAAUUAUUGUUUUCAUGGUGAACGGGUGAGUAAUACAUAAGAAUCAGCUUUUAGAUAAGGCAUAAAAGAGUAAUAUCUUGGUAAUUCCUUAUAUGCGCAGCAGUGCUUAAAAAGGGGAAUCCCGUCUAAAAACGAGCUUAUGCCUGAUUAGCUAGUUGGCGAGUUAAACGCUCACCAAGGCGAAGAUCAGUAGCUGGCCUGAGAGGGCGGCCAGCCACAUUGGGACUGAGACACGGCC
rnacentral:rRNA from 1 species